AGCAGUGAGGAAUAUGGUCAAUGGCCGGAAGGCUGAACCAGCCAAGCCGCGUGAAGGACGAAGGUGCUAAGCAUUGUAAACUUCUUUUGUCAAGGGACAAAAUCAGGCUCGAGAGCCUGACCGAGGGUACUUGAAGAAAAAGCAUCGGCUAACUCCGUGCCAGCAGCCGCGGUAAUACGGAGGAUGCGAGCGUUAUCCGGAUUUAUUGGGUUUAAAGGGUGCGUAGGCGGGCUGUUAAGUCAGCGGUAAAAGCCCGGGGCUCAACCCCGGCGAGCCGUUGAAACUGGCGGUCUUGAGAGGCCGAGAGGUAUGCGGAAUGCGCAGUGUAGCGGUGAAAUGCUUAGAUAUUGCGCAGAACUCCGAUUGCGAAGGCAGCAUACCGGCGGCGAUCUGACGCUGAGGCACGAAAGCGUGGGUAUCGAACAGGAUUAGAUACCCUGGUAGUCCACGCAGUAAACGAUG
rnacentral:rRNA from 1 species